GCCGAAGUGGCGAAAUUGGUAAACGCAAUUGACUCAAAAUCAAUCACCGAUAGGUAUUUGCCGGUUCGAGUCCGGCCUUCGGUA
rnacentral:tRNA from 1 species